rnacentral:rRNA from 1 species
AUUGAACGCUGGCGGCAGGCUUAACACAUGCAAGUCGAGCGGGGGAGGUUGCUUCGGUAACUGACCUAGCGGCGGACGGGUGAGUAAUGCUUAGGAAUCUGCCUAUUAGUGGGGGACAACAUUCCGAAAGGGAUGCUAAUACCGCAUACGCCCUACGGGGGAAAGCAGGGGAUCUUCGGACCUUGCGCUAAUAGAUGAGCCUAAGUCGGAUUAGCUAGUUGGGGGGGUAAAGGCGUACCAAGGGGACGAUCUGUAGCGGGUCUGAGAGGAUGUUCUGCCACGAUGGGACUGGUACACGGCCCAGACUGCUACGGGAGACAGCAGUGGGGGAUAGUGGACAAUGGGCGGAAGCCUGAUUCAGCCAUGCCGCGGGUGUGAAGAAGGCCUUUUGGUUGUAAAGCACUUUAAGCGAGGAGGAGGAGCUCUAGGUUAAUACCCUAGAUGCUUGGACGUUACUCGCAGAAUAAGCACCGGCUAACUCUGUGCCAGCCGCCGCCGUAAAAC